GACGUAGGGCGCGAGCGUUGUCCGGAUUUAUUGGGCGUAAAGAGCUCGUAGGCGGCUUGUCGCGUCUGCCGUGAAAGUCCGGGGCUCAACUCCGGAUCUGCGGUGGGUACGGGCAGACUAGAGUGAUGUAGGGGAGACUGGAAUUCCUGGUGUAGCGGUGAAAUGCGCAGAUAUCAGGAGGAACACCGAUGGCGAAGGCAGGUCUCUGGGCAUUAACUGACGCUGAGGAGCGAAAGCAUGGGGAGCGAACAGG
rnacentral:rRNA from 1 species